rnacentral:lncRNA from 1 species
CCUAUUUUCUUGACAUAAUAGACAACUCAGAAACAAACAAGCUCGUCCUACUCCUCCUGUCAUAAACCAUCUCCGAAGCAUAACAUGAUAGUUGAUUGAACUUGAGGUUGUACUCAUUCACACUAAUGAUUUACGACUUAAGAAUGAGGAAUUCUCUUACCUUUGUUUCUCUCAGCUCACGAGAAAAGAAACGCCCCAUGAAGGCAUUUCCAA